GCCGCCGUGCUGGCUGUCACAGGUGGAUGGACGCACUUUGAAAACUGAAAGCUUGAGGAACCGAAGGCGUGGGUUAUCAUGUAAUCUGUGGGUCGCGGGUUCGAGUCCCGUCGGCGGCU
rnacentral:tRNA from 1 species